rnacentral:rRNA from 1 species
AAACUGAGGAUAAUACCGGAUAGGCAAUUAUUCCUGUAAUGGUUUUUUGUUUAAAUGUUUUUUCGCCUAAGGAUGAGUCUGCGGCCGAUUAGGUAGUUGGUUAGGUAAUGGCUUACCAAGCCGUUGAUCGGUACGGGUUGUGAGAGCAAGAGCCCGGAGAUGGAACCUGAGACAAGGUUCCAGGCCCUACGGGGUGCAGCAGGCGCGAAACCUCCGCAAUGUGAGAAAUCGCGACGGGGGGAUCCCAAGUGCCAUUCUUAACGGGAUGGCUUUUCAUUAGUGUAAAGAGCUUUUGGAAUAAGAGCUGGGCAAGAUCGGUGCCAGCCGCCGCGGUAACACCGGCAGCUCUAGUGGUAACAAUUUUUAUUGGGCCUAAAGCGUCCGUAGCCGGUUUAAUAAGUCUCUGGUGAAAUCCUGUAGCUUAACUGUGGGAAUUGCUGGAGAUACUAUUAGACUUGAGACCGGGAGAGGUUAGAGGUACUCCCAGGGUAGAGGUGAAAUUCUGUA